CGGGUAUGGGUUCUCAGUGCGUAGCAUCAUGCCCUGAGAAACCCCGAUGUAUCUGAUGUUCACCUAUAGUCGGGUGGCGGCUGGUCGGCGCUGUGGCGCCCGUCAGAUCGCUGAUCCGGUGCGGAGAACUUCGGAGAAGUUGGUGGGCCCAUAUCUGUCAAGACCACUCACCUCACCUUCACGUGGGGCUCCCCGUCACCCUGCAUCGGUCCCGACCGGGGUAGGGUGCGAAAGAGUGAGUGGCACCAAGACGAGAGUAUGGCUCGUUAACCAUACGCCAUAAAACAAAUAGAUGAUGAAGAUGAUGAUGAAGAUAAUGAUGAUAUGUCGGAAAAUAUAAAUAAUGAAGUUUACGGUGCAGGGGCGGGAUACCCCAGUACCGGCGCAGACGUGGGUGGACAAGCGGGCCCCGCUGUGUCGUUAGCUUGUGACCGUGGCCGGAUGGGGGUGGACCACCAGGCCCCCAUUCAUGUUAUCACGACUGGUGAGGAGGAAGAAGGAGACAUUGAAAUGGAAGAGGCUCCGAUAGAGCAAGCUACAUCAAAAUUGAUAAAUGACAAAUUGAUAAAUGACUACGAACUAUUGUCUUUUUACAAAAUACAGACUCUGUAAGCUAUAACUGGAUCGUGUUACUCCUUAACAUCAGUGAGGUAUUGGCAGACUUCAUCCUGGUACUGCUUAACUGCCACUUAUAUUCAACUUUGUAUCCGAGGGUGCACAAUUGUUUCCAAAUAGACACAAUCGACGACGUAGGAAACAACGAUAAAAUCGAGAUGUGUGACAUGGUCCAGCAAUGAGUCGCCCGACACAGCGAGAUGCCGGGUAUUCAACCGCCUUGCUUGGUGCAGCCGCUUAUGCAGGUGAGGCCGAAUCCUCUCCCACGACCCUUCUCGGCUACUUACGGCUCGACCUCCGGCGAACAGUAGAUCCCCUAGGAAUAGAGAUGCACGAGCUCGAGGUGCAGGUGUUUCUGUGUCAGCAAAAUAAAGCAAGUCGGAUUCUCUCCCAUCUCGCUUUUCCGCUUCCCCUUUCAAUUGUCGAAGAUGCUCCAGGCAUAAUUCGUGGUUGCGGUCUGAAUGCCUACGAGAUUCUUGUGAUGAAUAAUUGCAAUAAGUGCCUUGUGUAUAUAAGGGUUAUAAGGUGGUUUAUUUUGUGAUUAAAUAUGACAACUCUACUGUA